rnacentral:rRNA from 1 species
UACAGAGACUGCAAGCGUUAUUCGGAUUCACUGGGCGUAAAGGGUGCGCAGGCGGCCGGGUGUGUCAGAUGUGAAAUCCCGAGGCUUAACCUCGGAACUGCGUCUGAAACUACUCGGCUAGAGUACUGGAGAGGGUAACGGAAUUCACGGUGUAGCAGUGAAAUGCGUAGAUAUCGUGAGGAACACCAGAGGCGAAGGCGGUUACCUGGACAGUUACUGACGCUCAGGCACGAAAGCAUGGGGAGCAAAAGGG